ACCUGGAUAGCUCAGUCGGGGGAGCAUCAGACUAGUAAUCUGAGGGUCUAGGGUUCAUGUCCCUAUUCAGGUG